rnacentral:misc_RNA from 1 species
CACACUGCGCGACAUCUGCCGCCCACAGCGGUAGGUGAAGCACAGCCAACCCUUGUCUAUUACUACCAUUUGUGAAUCCCUCGGCAGGGACGCCUGCCGCUGGGACCCCUAAACUCUUCUGUAUACAAGCAUAAAAACAUUCUGAAUCAAAUCAAAUUAUUA